UCCGCGCCUCCUCCACUCUUCGUCCGGGCCGAGCCUUUCUCCUCCUCGCCGCGCUCUGGCAGGUCUGUUGCUCCUCCACUCUUCGUCCGCGCCGUGUCGUUCCCCUCCUCGCCGCGCUCUGCCCGGUUUGCUCCUCAUCCUCCUCCUCCUCCUCUCUUCAUUCGGGUCGUGCCUCUGUCCUCCUCAAGUCGCAUUUCAUCUUGCCCGUCCUCGCUCGGUCGAUUCGUCCGUUUAGAACCGCGUCUGGAUUUGGUUUUGCUCGUCCUCGUCGUCGCCGGUUUAGAUAGAGAGUCCCGCCUGAUUUGAUUUUGCUCGUUCUCUCCGCCGUUCGUUCGUGUAGAGUCGCGUCUGAUUUGGUUCUGCUCGUGCUCGAUUCGUCGGUUUAGAAUCGCUUCCGAGUUGAUUUUGCUCGUCGCCGCCGUUCAUCAGUUCAGAGUCGCUUCUUCUGAUUUGGUUCUGCUCGUCCUCGCCAUCGUCCGUUUUUCCUCCCUCUCGCCGUCGCCCCGAUGCGCUCGCGUGUUCUUGGUUCGUCUCGUCGAGGGUCUACGUCUGGUUUGCGAUUGAGAAAUUUCUGCGUGCGCUUGCGUUUCGUGUUCGGUGUCAGCGCGAGUGUUACAGGAACGGUCGGGUCUUGGUUUUGAAAUUGGGUUACGGCCGGAAAUGGGGAGACAGAGAGGUUUGUCGUGCUAGUUCAACUGGGUUCCUAGGCUCCGUCACCUCGUCGGUUGUUUUCAGAUCUCAACGACUAGCUUGUACGUGUUCGUGUUCGUCCGUCAGAGACAUGCCCUUUGAUACUCUGGUUCCUUUGUCGAUUCUGAUUGUACUAGCUUGGUUCGCCCACCGUCGUGCUAGCUUGUUUCACUUUCUGCAGGCGUGUGUGCUCUCAUCCUUGAUGCAGGGGUGAUUAGUUACGGUUGUUCUGAUGGGUGUUACUGCUUGUUUCUGUUCUUUUCAACUGGUUAUUACUGUACUUUCUAUCAUGCUUUGCUUGUGUUCCCAUAGAUGAUGAUGUGUGUUCAGGGGUGCAAAUCAUGUAGGCCGUGGGUGCCAUUUCUUGCAGGCAGGUAGAGCAGAGUGCCUGACUAAUUGAACACCUGCUGCUGCUACUGUUGGACAAGGUUUCCUCCCAUUGUUAUUUCCAUUUUCAUACGAGUACUAGAUGAGGUGCUGCUAGUUAGUCCCCCCUACACUUCGUUCUAGAUUGCAUAGCAUAACUCCAGAAUUAUUUCAUUGACACCUGGGCAUAUAAUUCUAUUGUGAGCGGAAUUUAUUUAUUUGUGAAAGCACGUUCAUCACAUAUUUUUUAUCAAUGCUGCUCACUUUUGCCACGCCCCUUUUGCUUGUCCUGUUAAAUUUUAUGGCAUCAACUUGGAGCAAAUUUUGUACUCACUGGUUAAAAUAUCGAGAAUGCUGACUUCUGUAUUAGUCGCUAUGUAUGCCAUGCCAUGCACUUCGGAAGCCUGUGCGUGAUUAGGAUUUGGAUUGCAUAUAGAUUUUAUGCUAUGUUUGUUUAUAACCUGGUUGUGACCUAAUAUAGUGUAAAUCUGCUAAUUUUUUUAUUUAAUCUAUGUUCAAUGCAAGUAGGUUUUGUUCGUAAGUGGUAUUUAUUUUGUGUGUGUAUGAACAUUGAUGCCGUCAAUUUUUCUUAUCAUAAUCAUUUACCAUGGUGUUCGACAAUACAUUUCUACGGUUCUUUAUUCCCUUUUGAGGUUAUGAUCACUUAUGUGUUAGUAUAUACUAGCUAUGAUGUGUUUUAUUCAAGUUAUUAACCACAUCUCUUAUAGAUUUGCCUUGAGUUUAUAUGACACUGUCCGUUUCUUUGUGUGUUUCUUGUGUGCAAGCGCUCCAUUGUGUGUGUCUGACUGUGUGUGUGAUGUGCCCCUAUCUAUGUAUGUUUCUUUGUCCAUUUCAUAUGUGCAAGGCGCUCCAUUGUUUGUGUGUGACUGUGUGUUUGACUGCUUAGAUGGGUGAUUAUGAUUGUGUUACUGCUUAUAUGGUCUGUCCAAUUGGUUUCUUCUUCAUGCUUUGCUUGUGUUCCAAUGAUGUCUCCUCAUAUAUGGGGAUGUGUUCAGGGAUGCAAACCAUGUAGGCCGUUUCGAGCAGGCAGGGAUCGAGAGACGUGCACUGGUCAGGCUUCUCUCCUGCUGAUAGAUGAUGAUAGGCUGAGCAGAAAUGUUUGACUCUUGUAACACUCACUUGCUUGGCUUCCACUCCUUUGCGUGGCCGAUUUGGCAUCCAAUGCAUUCCAUGCCUAUCUUAUUUAUCUCACUCACUCAUCAUAGCACCAUUUUCCCUUUUUGUUCCUUAUUUUUUGUAUCAUAAUAAUCAUGUUUACCGUGGUGUUUGGCAAUACAUUUUUUUUGUGAUAUGUUUCGUUAUGUCUUAUGUGGAUAUCAUAUUCUUUUUUUUGUAUUACUGAUGUCCAGUCACUGGAAUAAGCUUUUCUAAGUAUUUCAGGUAGGACAUAGACAUGUCACAUUUGCUCUUCCUUGUGUUGCUACGGACACUGGUGGGUUGGGUUUGCUUGCAGCGAGGACAGAUAAUUCUAUUGGAAUAUUUCUUUGAGAAAGAAGUUAGAUGUCUAUGGCACCAGAAAUAUUUUGGCAAUUCCAAGACUAAUUGGUCAUGAUGACUUCAAGCAUAAAUAGAAGACAGCUGAUUCUGAGGGCCAUCUUGAUCUGAACAGCUCAUUAUUCUAAUUUUAGCUCACCUCUACAGUCAUACA